GGAGGUGCAAUUAGGUGAGGGGUAGAGUUGUGGUGGGAGGUGCACUAAGGCGAGGGGUACAGUUGUGGUGGGAGGUGCACUAAGGUGAAGGGUAGAGUUGUGGUGGUAAACGUUUGUACAAGGGGUAAAUUUAGGGUAAGUCCCAGCUUAUUUGUAGUGUUUGUUAGUUGAAAUUUAGUUUAUCCAUAAUGUAUUCUAUAAGGUUUGAAAACUUUAUAUUAAAUCACACAUGUGCUUGGCUGUUGAGACCAACCUCCUCACUCCCUCUGGAAAGGGCUGACACCACAUGUAGUACACUUUCACUCACAAUUCAGGAAAGGACACUUUUACUUUUACUCACCCGAGGAAAGGACACUUUUACUUUUACUCACACCUGAGGAAAUGCUAAAUUUUACUCACAUGUUUGGGAAACAAUGGACCAAUCACAAUUGUCAAGCAAAAGUGACACAGAACAAAGAAGACACUAGAUCGGUGAGUUAAAUGACUUUGUACCUUCGUCCACGAUGUAGGUUAGAGCAGCCAGGCCCACAGCAGCUAACAGGAGCGCCAGCAUCAGCCUGCAAAACAGACAAGGUAAUCAGGGGCCAUUCCAUCCCAGAUGCCCUGACACCAACCGGACCACUUACCAGUUUAAGGCGGAGCUGCCAUGGCUGUACAGAACCACAGCGAUCGCAGCGCCGAUGACAUAGGAGACAGCAGUCACGCCCAGUAUCAGGCUCUGUGGGCGCCAGCUAGCUGCCGGCCAUGGCCAGCAUCACCACCUGCGCAGCCUCCACCAGCAGUAGUGCCGGCUCCGACACCAGUAGCAGUUUGUCGUACAGCCAGACGAGCGCCUACGGCAGCAGGUUCACGGGCAGCGAGAGGAUCAGCGCCAGAGCUCCCACCUGUAGGUACGGCGCCACGAAAGCCUGCAGACAGAAGGAUCACCAUGGUUACACAAACAAACAACCCCUCACCAGUCCCACCUGCAGGUACGGCGCCACAAAAGCCUGCAGACAGAAGGAUCACCAUGGUUACACAAACAAACAACCCCUCACCAGUCCUACCUGCAGGUGCGGCGCCACAAAAGCCUGUAGACAGAAGGGUAGAGGAAUCGGCAUGGUCACACAAACUACUAUAUCAUUCCAGUGACCAGGCUCUUUUCUUCUUCAGACUUGAAAGCAAAAAAAAUCUUUGAUAAAGCUGUUCAAAAUAAAGUCUUAUAGACAGAU